rnacentral:rRNA from 1 species
UAGUAAGUUCGGACGGGGCCCGCACAAGCGGUGGAGCAUGUGGUUUAAUUCGACGCAACGCGAAGAACCUUACCAGGGCUUGACAUCCCCUGACCGCGUAUGAAAGUACGUUUUCACCCUCGGGUGACAGGGAGACAGGUGGUGCAUGGUUGUCGUCAGCUCGUGUCGUGAGAUGUUGGGUUAAGUCCCGCAACGAGCGCAACCCCUACGUUUAGUUGCUAACAGGUGAAGCUGAGCACUCUAGACGAACUGCCGUUGACAAAACGGAGGAAGGUGGGAUGACGUCAAGUCCUCAUGGCCCUUAUGACCAGGGCUACACACGUGCUACAAUGGCCGGUACAAAGAGUUGCGAUACCGCGAGGUGGAGCUAAUCUCAUAAAGCCGGUCUCAGUUCGGAUUGGAGUCUGCAACUCGACUCCAUGAAGUUGGAAUCGCUAGUAAUCGCGGAUCAGCACGCCGCGGUGAAUACGUUCCCGGGCCUU